rnacentral:rRNA from 1 species
AUUGAACGCUGGCGGCAGGCUUAACACAUGCAAGUCGAGCGGAGUGAUGGUGCUUGCACUAUCACUUAGCGGCGGACGGGUGAGUAAUGCUUAGGCAUCUGCCAUUUAGUGGGGGACAACAUUCCGAAAGGAAUGCUAAUAACGCAUACGUCGUACGGGAGAAAGCAGGGGAUCUUCGGACCUUGCGCUAAAUGAUGAGCAUAGGUCGGAUUAGCUGGUUGGUGGGGUAACGGCCUACCAAGGCGACGAUCUGUAGCGGGUCUGAGAGGAUGAUCGGCCACACUGGGACUGAGACACGGCCCAGACUCCUACGGGAGGCAGCAGUGGGGAAUAUUGGACAAUGGGCGUAAGCCUGAUCCAGCCAUGCCGCGUGUGUGAAGAAGGCCUUUUGGUUGUAAAGCACUUUAAGCGAGGAGGAGGCUACUAGUACUAAUACUACUGGAUAGUGGACGUUACUCGCAGAAUAAGCACCGGCUAACUCUGUGCCAGCAGCCGCCGUAAGAC